UUCCUCUAUUCAAUCCAUUUAAGAUUUUGACAUCAAAACCCAGCGAACAGCUUACCCUCCUGAGUCCUCAGCAUUGCCUCCCAGUGCCUUCGAUGGCCGAUGAGUUUUGUUUUUCCCUUCCUCUUUCUUGUUCGUCGAACAGCUCUCCAAAAUGAUUUUAUUACGUGCGAUUUGAAGAUUUAGAGUUUUGUAUUAACCUCCAUGAAACCUUAAUUGACUAAUUUAUAUCUCAAAUGCACAACAGAAUAAAACCCAUUUUUGAGAAUUCCUGCAAUUUUUUUCUCCUAAAUUAAAUUCCUAAUGUUAGAGUAAAUGUAGAAAUAUAGAGAAUAAUCCGAAUGAUGACUUUGAUGUACGACUUGAAUCGUUUCCUUAAAGUGUUAUUUACCUUCACUCGAAUGAGUUUGCUAAAGGGUUCUUGACAAAUCACUUCGAGGAUACACCAAAGUAUGAAAUAUUUGAUCAGCAAAACCGAAUUAUAUUCCUUUAUAAAUAACUAAAAAGAAAUUGUAUGAAUGUGAUGGAGAGAAAAGAGAGCAAAGAAUGUAGAAACAAAUUUCUAAAAUUGUGGGUGAAACAUUAUGGUACAAUAGAUAUUUAUAGACAUUAAAGCACCCAUUUAUCUAGUCAUUUCAUUUUAGUUGAAGAUAUACAGCCCUUUUUGAUAGUGUUGACCCAAAAGACAUGUUUUUUAUUUAGAAAUUCCAGAAAAUAGAUAUUGACUAAUUACAUUUUUUAAUUCUAGUCAUACAAUUUGAACAAGCAUAAUGUCUUUUAACCAAAAAUUGUAACCAUUCAACAAAAUAUACAACCAUAAAAGGUUGAAUGAACCCCAACCUUCUAUAAAGGUUGCCACCCAUACACUUACACAUAUUAUAUACAUAAUAUAAUGGGUAAAUUACAUAGUAGCCCCUCAAGUUUGAGGUCUAUUACAACCCCAUACAUCAUCUUUAAAAUAUUUCACUUUCAUAUCUCACGUUCUAUUUUAUUUCAAAAUAAUACAUCCAUUAUAUUUUC
rnacentral:lncRNA from 1 species